UAUUAUUGACUUGGGCUUCUGUGAAUGGAUAAAUUCUGUGAAAAGAAGAUGGAUUGUGAAUUGCUUGGAAAUGUGAAUAUUAUUAUGAUAGCACAUAUUUUUAGAUCAAGAAUAGUUUGUUUUACAUUAUUUUCAUGAAAAGUUUAUUAAUAUUUAUGAUUAAAAAAACUUUUAAAAAACUGCAUAUGCUGUAAUGUGGCAUGGUUUGGAAUAAAUAUACAUUUGAAGGACUUUUCGCAUAAACUUCAUUUGGUACCUUAAUGAUUCCCUUCAGGAUGCCUGUUUAAAAGAAAAACUGAAGAAACUUUAAAACUAGAUGAUGGCAACUGAAGAAGUUGAAACACCGUUAUUCAUGGUGUCAUAUCGAGGCUUCAGUUCUCGAUGUAAAAGUGAAUGAAAGCACUAAAGAAAGCGAAUAAGCUUUAAAGCAGAAUUUUGUCAUGCGAUUAUGGUGGCGAUAUGAGAGAACUACUGUGGU